UACAGAGGGUGCAAGCGUUAAUCGGAAUUACUGGGCGUAAAGCGUGCGCAGGCGGUUGUGCAAGACAGAUGUGAAAUCCCCCGGGCUCAACCCGGGAACUGCGUCCGAUACUGGCAGGCUUGAAUCCGGGAGAGGGAUGUGGAAUUCCUAGUGUAGAGGUGAAAUUCGUAGAUAUUAGGAAGAACACCGGUGGCGAAGGCGGCCCACUGGAUCGGUACUGACGCUGAGGUGCGAAAGCGUGGGGAGCAAACAGG
rnacentral:rRNA from 1 species